rfam:Oryza sativa (indica cultivar-group) chromosome 3, whole genome shotgun sequence.
AACCACACUAUCGAUGAAUAAAUUCACCCGAGAUGACGUGUUUGUUUUACCUAGGACGAUGACAUGGCAUCCUAUUACCAGCGAUCGCACGAAAUUAAUAGGAUGCCACGUCCUCAUCCUAAAUAGAACAACCACGUCAUCUCAUAAAUGAAUCUAUUCAUAUGUAGUGUGGUU